ensembl:lncRNA
ACUAGUACUAAUAGGGCUAUCUGUAAGCAUGGUAAUUUCAAUUUAAUUGGAUGCAACCUGUUUGGCUCACGGAGGGCUGCCACUCAAAUAAUCAUGCCGCUGAAUCUACGGUAAUCACAACAUUGUGCAUCCUCCUCAGUGUGCUAUUUCAUUUACCCACGCAUGCCUGUCUGUCUGUCUGUCCACGUCACGGUAAAUUUGGUGGGUGGAGGACAGGACCUGUGCCAGGCAGGGAGGUUACCCUCGCCCAGGACCGAUGCCCAAUGUCAGGUUGGCACUGUGUCUGUCCGUCCCUUUGACAUCUGUUCGUGCCGGGGCUACGGACCCUGCUCGGCCCCAGAUCUUCUUGCUGCCAGCUCAACAGAAUCUUAACCGUCUUUUGCUUUCAGUAACUCGUUGCGUUUUACCCCAUUACGGCGGAGAGAGCUCACUAACGAGGCACAUUUAAGAGUUGUGUCGGCUGUACCCGUUUCUGGGACUCAACGUGCUUACCGUUCAGUGUUGGAUCCGACGUGUAGAGAGGGCCUAUAACGCUCCACCCCAACACUUCGACACUCACCACGAGUGAGUCGUGGAGUCAUUGGUCAGAGAGCCGCCUCUACACGCUGUGACGAAGACGUAUGAGGAAGAGCUGCGUGACGUUACCCUCUGCGCCAUUCGGAAUGAACCAGCCAGUCAACAACGUUGUUGUGGCCCCCCCCCCCCCCCCCCCCGGCGACUGAUCAUAUUACUUGUCUCACGGCAAAACAUUCGUCUUCAUUGAGGGAACAGAAAUAAGAAGCCGGCUACAUCAGAACAGACUACCUCUCCGCUUCCGUAACCACAUUUGUCACUCUCUUUCCCAUAUUGCAUCGGCUGAUUCGAUUAUAUGGCAGGGCCCGUCGCGCGAACCACGUACUGUUACUGUUAGGACUUUCUGCCGGUUGAUCACAAGGCAAAUGCUUGGCAAUAGGCCGUUCAUAGCCAAUACACAUCUACCUGGCCAAUGACAAUGUUAGAUCCAAAGAACAAACUGUAUGUUAUCUCCACCUUUCCCAAAUCACCCAGUAUAACUAGACGCCACUCCAGAAGGCCAAUAUUAAACGGCUAGAACAUGCAGUACACUUCAAAUGUUCUAUCAAUGACUGAACGGUGCUACGGCACAGCAGGGGCCUGGGAAAUGGCUUGCCUUGCUUCUUUAAAAGACAGAACCCAGAAGAAACAAGAACACCCGUUUUAAACAUCAAUAACUUUGCCUUUUGGAUAAAUCAUUGCAUAAAGAUCUAGGCUGGAAGGAAGUGUUUUGACAAGGAAGUUACUGGGCGUGCUCUGUCCUGUAAGGCCAGAGCCACCACUGCCUACACCUGACAGCUUCCUGUCCAAGGAGACACUCCGCUGGCACGCCAUUCACAGCACAGAAGAAACCCAGGAGCACCCUGGGAAAACACGUUAAAACACUCAUCAGUUGGACAAUCAUUCUCUGUCGUUUACCCAAGAGUUGGUGCACACGUACACAAACACACACUGAAUAAUAGUGAAGCGAACAUAACUCACGGCAUAUUUACUCAGAGGCAUUUCAUGCAUAUUUUUGGGAGCAUUUCCUCAUCGAGUUGGAUGAGCUUAGGGCACAGAUGGGAUUGAUCCUGUGACCAACAGAUACAAAAGGCAAUAUGGGUCACAGCUGGAGGGUCCAAUGGUGAGAUGAGACCCCCGUCUGGACCAAUCUGGGCCAAUAGAAGACCUACUAGUCCAGCCCUGAGCUACUCAAAUGUAUCUUGUACAACAGGAAUUAGCUACACUGUCAUAUGUCUGGGUCUAGUCUGUUUGUGG